UGAGAUUAUGGAUAACGAGACAAUGAGCCGGACGAGGCGAAUAUCUCGUUAAUCUCAUCCUCGUCUGACGACGAUGGGAUCCUCUAUCCUACCGGUAUUGCACGCUCGCGAUAAUUACACGUCCCGCGUCUCUUAGGAUAAACGGCUAACGUGUCCCAGCCAAUUCAAUUCCGGAUGCUCUUAUGGCGGACUGAACUUGAAAUCGCAGUGUCUACAACGAUGGCAGAGAGAUAGGGCUCUGCCUUUCUUGUUCUACGCUAGUGUAGAUAAGAUAAAAUGAGCGAGCCGAGAUAAAGGCGGGAGCGCUGAGUCAAUAUUGACAUUUAGGAGACAAAGCCGGAAGUCGAAAAGAGGACGAAAUGAGAAUCGAGGCGAGAGCAAUUUGCCGAGAAUGAUUUGUUCCCGACAUGAUUCCUCCAUUUGAUUCAUGCAUUUUACGGCGGAUUUGCAAUGUUACCGUUGGUCUUACUCGCCAUCAGCCAUCAGUCACGAACGAAAUAGCUGGAGCAAUUUUCGCGUUUACGUUUACUUUCGUGGCUAUAAUUCAACGUUUGCAAGCCCGAAACACGCGGAGGUCGCGCGUCCUACCAAGGCUGACUAAUUCCCGCAAUUGAUGCAAGACCCGUCGACAAUGCGCGUAGGUUUUCUCUUUCGCGUGUCUUUACAUACUAAUUUAUCGACCUGUAUCGAACGUUAUAUGACUUUCAGUACGUGUAUAGAGCUUGAUGAAAAUUCUAACAUUAUAGAAAGAUUAUGAAAUGUGAUAUGUAAUAAAAGAUUUGAAAUCUGCGAGAUA